GGAAAGAGUGGGUGAAUAUAAUUAUCUCGGUCUAACUUAUACUGUUUAUUAUACCGCUAUUCGCAGCAAUAUCUUUCUCUGCUCCGAUUGCAACGCUGCCUCGUUCAAAAAUCAUAACACCGCCGCGGCCGCCACGUUUACCAGCCGGAGCCUCAAAUCAUGUCCCUUUGUGGUGAUAAAGAGGACACAGCCUGGUGUGAAGCUACAUUUAUUACGGAAGGAUGCCAGCCGGGAUCCGAACACGUCCGAUAUCAUCCAAGAGAAUGUGGCAGCUGAAGGGGGAGAGGCCAAGAAAGAGGCCAAGGGUGAAGACAUUUAGCCACCCCCCCUGAAGUACAUGGCAGCAUCCAACCCUCUUGGUGAGCUGCAGGAAUGUGCUCCCCAUUGCAGUGCACCAGCUCCAUGUACUGAUUUUGGAUUUGAAUUUGAUGGGGCUGGAGGAAACUCGACUCGGCCAUCAAGCUCACCACAAUAUAACAUGAAAAGUGAAAAUUGCUGCACACAACAGUCUGCCGUCUGCACCGGGAGGCAAGGCAGCUCAAAGCCCAGGCUGUUACAACUCCUGGGCAGUUUUUGCCCAGAGCCAGCAAUUUUUUAGAUCCAAUAGAGGUGGAUUUUUUCUAAGGUCAGGUUCAACAUGCUGCAAGAUGCCAAGAUCUAAGCCUAGUAGGAGAUGUGGGUUACAAGAGAGGAGGUUUGCUCUGGCCUUAUACUAUCAAAGUCCAAAUGCUAAUAGAUUUCUAAGCACAGUAUUUCACUUGCCUUCAGUUUCAACACUUCACUCAUGACUCAGGGGUAUUUCAGUAAAUGUUGGCUGGAGCAAACAGACUCUGACAGCCCUGCAGCAAAGAGCACAGGCUUUGUCAAAAGAUUAGAUACUUCGUGGGAUUUGCCAUUAUUUAGUAUUACUCUUGUUACGGCAAUAAAUUUUUUCCAUAUACUUUGCCAAAUAUUGCAAGUAAUGCACCAUUGUUGGUCUUGCCUGUUAGAAAUCAGAUCUUGUUCAAUUAACAAGCUUUGGGUGUCUGCCACUUUCCAGUUGUAAUGCAAGGAAUCAUUUAUCUCCCCUGCCAGAUAUCACAUGUAAUGUACCAUUGUUGGUUUUGCCUGUUAUAAAUCAGAUCUUGUUCAGUUAACAAGCUUUAGGUGUCUGCCACUUUCCAGUUGUAAUGCAAGGAAUCCCCUGCCAGAUAUCGCAUGUAAUGCACCAUUGUUGGUUUUGCCUGUUAUAAAUCAGAUCUUGUUCAGCUCACAAGCUUUGAAUAUCUGCCAUUGUUUAUUUCAGGUGUAAUGCUUGGAAGCAUUUGUUCUCUUCCCUACCCAACAGUAUGCAAUACUUUAUUGUGGAUUUUGCCUGUUAUAUUUAAUCUUGUUCAGGUAACAAGCUUUUGG